rnacentral:misc_RNA from 1 species
AAGUCGUAACAAGGUAACCGUAGGUGAACCUGCGGUUGGAUCAUUAUUGAAAAACUAAAGCAUGCUGCAUUUGCACUGCUUCACUUACUGUGAACUGUUUUGUCUCUGGUGGGCUGGGUAAUGAAUUAAUUCAUUUGAAUUUCCCAUUACCUGUCAGUCUGUAAUUAGCUUUUGCCUCGAGAGCUUUUUGCAGUCCGUGGACAACCCACCAACCAAUUUAGUAAACACUGUCAUAUAUAUUAAAAGUCUAAUUAAUGAUACAAUAAUAUAAAACAACUUUUGGCAACGGAUCUCUUGGCUCUU